GUGUUUUUUGUGAUAACACAUACACUAAAAUUGGCUUGAUACAGAGAAGAUUAGCAUGGUCCGUUGCGCAAAAAUGACACGCAUAAUCGUGAAGCGUAUCCGAUCUUU